UGAGGAAUAUUGCGCAAUGGGGGAAACCCUGACGCAGCAACGCCGCGUGAGUGAGGAAGGUUUUCGGAUCGUAAAGCUCUGUCGAGUGGGAAGAAAUGUAUCAUGGCUAAUAUCCAUGAUACUUGACGGUACCGCUAAAGGAAGCACCGGCUAACUCCGUGCCAGCAGCCGCGGUAAUACGGGGGGUGCAAGCGUUGUUCUGAAUUAUUGGGCGUAAAGAGCGUGUAGGCGGCUGAAUAAGUCAGAUGUGAAAUCCCUGGGCUUAACUCAGGAAGUGCAUUUGAAACUGUUCAGCUCGAGUAGGGGAGAGGAAAGUGGAAUUCCUGGUGUAGAGGUGAAAUUCGUAGAUAUCAGGAGGAACACCGGUGGCGAAGGCGACUUUCUGGCCCUAUACUGACGCUGAGACGCGAGAGCGUGGGUAGCAAACA
rnacentral:rRNA from 1 species